UCUACUUUUACAUUGAACAUUUUAAUCAUUUAGCAGACUUAAUGUCAAGUGUAUUCACUAGGUUCAGUAGGGAAAAAACCCUCACCACAUAUCAAAGUUAUCACAAGUAGACCAAUACCGCAGUCAGCAGAAUCAGUGCCACAAAGAAAAAACUGUGUGUGAAAGAAAGAUAAGUACACUUAGCCUCCUCCUGCCUUAAAUUUAAAAUAGAAAACACUGCUGCUCAGAGAUAUUAUGCUGACUAAUGUAUCUAAGGUGCCAACUCUCCUCUUGGAGAGGUAGUCUCCCAUACAGAAAUCAUUAUGGUAUCUAAUGUAUCUUAAGUGCCAACUCUCCUCUUGGAGAGGUAGUCUCCCAUACAGAAAUCAUUAUGGUGUCUAAUGUAUCUAAGGUGCCAACUCUCCUCUUGGAGAGGUAGUCUCCCAUACAGAAAUCAUUAUGGUGUCUAAUGUAUCUAAGGUGCCAACUCUCCUCUUGGAGAGGUAGUCUCCCAUACAGAAAUCAUUAUGGUGUCUAAUGUAUCUAAGGUGCCAACUCUCCUCUUGGAGAGGUAGUCUCCCAUACAGAAAUCAUUAUGGUGUCUAAUGUAUCUAAGGUGCCAACUCUCCUCUUGGAGAGGUAGUCUCCCAUAUAGAAAUCAUUAUGGUGUCUAAUGUAUCUUAAGUGCCAACUCUCCUCUUGGAGAGGUAGUCUCCCAUACAGCAAGGCCACCUCUAUGCACUAAUUUCCCAGGUACGGGAGGGAUACAUUGAAACAACUUGUGAGUUGUUCUUUCAAAGAAGACAAACCAGAGCAACCUUGUGUAAGUAAGGUGGUACAUUCCUAAAGUAUGACCUAUGACCUUGUUCUUCAGGAACCAGGGGCCGGCAGUAAUGAAUACUACUUCUGACUGUCCCUCCCACUCCCAGGACCCCCCCCCGGCGUUAUCUCUGUUUACAUUACAACAUGUCGGACUUACAGGAUCACAAUGUUCUGGAAUGUUCUUCUCUCAUCUCUUCAAAGACCUACUCUUUGAAUAAUGUGUUCAGAUGAUAGUAUUAUUUCCCAUGCUGAAAACCUGACAUGAGUCAAAUGACUAAUCUAUGAAAGAUAAGUCAAAAUGCAUGUAGGCUUAUAACACAACCCUAAUUUGACUAGCACUGUGAAAAAGGGGCCUCUUUGAGUUAACACCAUGUCCAAGUCAACCCAGCUUUGCAGACCUAGGGGAAAAUACGUACUGUGUGUCGAAUGUCAUUAUGUAAUACUUUCAAUCACUACUUUUCCUGGCACAAUGGAACGAACCAAUGGAAUACUCCUAAAAGUGCAAAUGUCAAGAUAAGUGCACCACAAAUGUUACAUGUAUACCAGUAUGUAUUUGAACCUGCUGAGACAACCCAACAAACGUCCUAUGUUCUCUGUGGUACAAGCUGUCCAGAACCCAGUGUUGUUCUCCACAGUAUUUCUCUCUCUAGAUGCAAAACCACUGCAUACUGAAUGGAAUGCGACUUCAGUCUCUUUCCUGGUGUUUUAUUUCCCACUUCCUGUUCCCUUCUUCCUGCCGGGGUAGAUUGUUGCCGUCCCGGUGCGUGUCAUAGGUCUGCUGGAGUUCCCUCUGUUGAAGGAAUCUGGGUUCUGUUCAUUAGGCCUCAAAUAGAAGAAAAAUGUUCAGAAACAAAGUGGAGUAACACAUCUCAGAUGUUUCCCCUAGAUGCAAAACCAUUCCAUCCACUUCAUAGCUUUCAUACACUCCCCGAAAGGCAAGAACAUCAACUAAUCUGACAGCUCAGCACUUUCCCGAAGGUUCAAACAUCGUUCUUCUUGCUAUCUCAGAGCUGUCGUACCUCACUUCCUUUUCCUCUCAACUGGGCAUCUGCACAAUUUUUUUUUUUUUACCUUUAUUUAACUAGGCAAGUCAGUUAAGAACAAAUUCUUAUUUUCAAUGACGGCCUAGGAACGGUGGGUUAACUGCCUGUUCAGGUGCAGAACAACAGAGUUGUACAUUGUCAGCUUGGGGGUUUGAACUUGCAACCUUCCGGUUACUAGUCCAACGCUCUAACCACUAGGCUACCCUGCCGCCCCAGAGAGGAGAGAGGUUAUAGGAGAAGGAAAGAGAAGCCUUAUAAAGGUGCUCAACUCAACAUAAUGUUUUUCAGGAAGGGAUGGCCUGGAGAAAGAAGAAAGGCUGUGGCCAGUCACAAUUAAAAACAUCCGGCAUGUUUUCGUGGAAAAAUUAUGCAAAAGCGUGGAACCAGAAAACCCAGACGUGUCCCCUACUAUCCGUUGUGUUUUUACAUUUAAUCCCCCCCUCUAAGAUGGAGCGCCGUGCUGCUUUCCAUUUGUAGAUCAGUAGCAGAUCUCAAUGCUCUGGGAAUUAAAACAAACAGGAGUAGAAUGGUCAGGACAUGGAAUUCCAUAAAAUGUAAUUAGUGGGCCUGAAGAAAGUAGCUAUGCUCUGAAUGUUGGGACUGUUUUAAAAAAAAGGGUUCUGUGGUCGACUGUAUUUCACUGUUGUUUUGUUUGUUGUUGGUAGUUUUGAUACGCUCUCUAAAUCCUGAAUACACCUAAAUACUUCUCUGUCUCUGUCUCUCUCUCUCUCUCUCUCUCUCUCUCUCUCUGUCUCUCUCUGUGUGUGUCU